rnacentral:lncRNA from 1 species
GAGAGAGAGAGAGAGUAUCAAAACUAGCAAAAAAUGAUGCUAAAAAAAGCUGUCAUCCUUCUUUCUUUGAUCUGCAUUUCGAUUGCUGGUGUUUCUGGUCAAGCACCAGCAACGUCACCAACAGCAACACCAGCACCACCCACACCAACUUCUUCUCCACCGCCAGCAACCACUCCUCCACCAGUUUCAGCCCCACCUCCUGUUACCCAAUCUCCACCUCCAGCUACCCCUCCUCCAGUUUCAGCCCCACCACCUGCCACCCCUCCUCCCGCAACCCCACCACCAGCAACUCCUCCUCCCGCCACCCCACCACCAGCAACCCCACCACCUGCUACUCCUCCACCAGCAACCCCUCCUCCCGCUGUUCCUCCACCAGCUCCAUUGGCAGCUCCACCAGCUCUUGUUCCAGCUCCAGCUCCCAGCAAGCCUAAGUUGAAGUCUCCAGCUCCAUCUCCCCUGGCAUUGAGUCCUCCAUCUCCACCAACUGGCGCUCCUGCUCCAAGUUUGGGUGCUUCCU